CAUCCCCUACGGGGCGCAGCAGUGAGGAAUAUUGGUCAGUGGGCGGGAGCCUGAACCAGCCAAGCCGCGUGAAGGAAGAAGGCGCCAGGCGUCGUAAACUUCUUUUGUCGGGGAACAAAGGGCGCCACGUGUGGCGUUCCGAGAGUACCCGAAGAAAAAGCAUCGGCUAACUCCGUGCCAGCAGCCGCGGUAAUACGGAGGAUGCGAGCGUUAUCCGGAUUUAUUGGGUUUAAAGGGUGCGCAGGCGGAAGAUCAAGUCAGCGGUAAAAUUGAGAGGCUCAACCUCUUCGAGCCGUUGAAACUGG
rnacentral:rRNA from 1 species